UCUUAGCCUUGAUCUCAACUUCUCUGUCUUCUAUUAUGAGAUUAUGAAUUCUCUUGAGAGGUACAUAUGCCUUGGCUUGAAGGAGUGUUUGAUUAGCUCAUAAAAAGUUGUUGUGACUUUGUUUGCCGCAAUGGUUGAUUAGGUUAUACAAUGAAUGGAAGUGUUGUGUGGGUCUAUUAGUGAAUUUUUCAAGAAAUGGAGAGUAAU